rnacentral:misc_RNA from 1 species
GAUGAAGAACGCAGCGAAAUGCGAUAAGUAAUGUGAAUUGCAGAACUCAGUGAAUCAUCGAAUCUUUGAACGCACAUUGCGCCCUCUGGUAUUCCGGGGGGCAUGCCUGUUCGAGCGUCAUUAUAACCACUCAAGCUCUCGCUUGGUAUUGGGGCUCGCGGUUCCGCGGCCCCUAAAAUCAGUGGCGGUGCCUGUCGGCUCUACGCGUAGUAAUACUCCUCGCGAUUGAGUCCGGUAGGUCUACUUGCCAGCAACCCCCAAUUUUUACAGGUUGACCUCGGAUCAGGUAGGGAUACCCGCUGAACUUAAGCAUAUCAAUAAGCGGAGGA